CAGUUGGGACCCAAAUAAGGUGGUGUGUUUCUUAAAAGUAUAUGUUACUACAUUAAAGCUUAAUCAGUGGAUGGUUUCGAAAAAUAUAUUCGAUUCAAUCAUACUUUGAAGAUAAACACUGUAAUUAUAAUAUAAGUAAAUCAUUAAUGUGACGCUAAACACUGUUUUGGAUAACUAAUAACCAUUUUCAUAGUGUCUAAUCCACUCAAACACCCUCGAUUAAAAUAUUGCAAGACUUAUAUGAUAAUAUCUUCUUAGUACUAGCUAGCAGUUAUGCUAUUCUAUAGUAUUAAUAGUCUCAGUGUUAAGCAGUUUAAGUGUCACAUUUCUGUUCUCCCAAACCGAAAUGGUUUUAUUUUUCUUGAUUAUUAACUUGAUUUAGACCAAAGCCCAUUAGCUUUUAUCCUUCUUUUCUGGCCCGUGUAGUAAACCCUAAGGUUUCCUCUUCUUUUCUUAUAAAAAUGAGCCUCCUCAUUCUCUUCUCUCCCAUUAGAAAUCAGAGCGAAACUUUGCAAAGUUCCAGAGAGAUCUGAAAACCCUAGCCGUCAAGGUUUCUCUUUUCUUCUCUCUCGUUCUCUCUCGCCUGCGUCUCUCUCUCUCGCCUGCGUCUCUGUCUCUCUCUUUCUCUCUCUCCCCUUGGUGUUCGCCGUUUGCUGAAGGCUGGAGCCAAGCCGUUGGAGAUCCCCGAUGAACCGAUCCAAUUCUAUGUCCAGAUCUCUCCUUGUCUUCUUUCUAGAUCUUGUCGCUGGUGAGCACCAAUCCUUUUUGUUGUAGAUCUGGUUCGUGGAAAGCUAUAAGCUUCAGAUCUGGUUCUACUCUCUUUUCCAUUCUCAGAUCUAAGGCCAAGGUUCGGCUCAUAUUGGUGGAUUUUUGUCUAAGACGUCCUGGGAUCCUAAAGACACAUUGUUUCGGUCUUGUGGCUGGAGACAAGUGUCAUGAUAUCGCCGACCAUUUCAGCUACGCUGGUUCGGGGUGUUACAUUAAGAACAUCUAAUUGAUUAAUAAGUCUGUUCUUCUAAUUCACAGAAGAGAAGUAAAACGCGAAACACGAGUCAUGAAAUUGAUGAAGAGAUGGUUUAGAGGCCUUUUAGGGGAAAUAGACAAGGACAAGAGACUGACCGUAAACGGUUCCUUUAAAGUAGCUAAAAUUAGGUGAGCGAUGCAAACGUGAAGGGAUGGCCGCAAACGUUGUAGCCGUUAACGCCAAACAAAUAAAGCGAGCGUUACCUAAAACAACUAAAAAGACUAUAGCAUACAUACUUCAGCUCUCGGAGACAUUGGAUUUUAAUCUAUGAACUUUAUAC